GUGGUGGUCUUUAUGGUUCCAACACUGAGCAGUGUGCUGCAACCGGUGCGACUCCACACAGAGUGAGGCUGGUUCCUACCGACGGGAGCCUGUGAAGGUGUUGGGCUUCCUGUGCGAUGGUUCCAUACAUC